AGUUGCGCCCGAGGCCACCCGGUCGAGGGCACGCCUGCUUGGGCGUCAUGC
rnacentral:rRNA from 1 species